rnacentral:misc_RNA from 1 species
UUAACAUGUUUAAAGAUUACGGCACAUGGCCUUCUCAGACAGUAAGUUAAUGUAAAGUUUAAUAAUUGGCCCUUCCCCAGGCACCUCAACCAAGUAACCGAAUAACAGCCUGGCUGGCAGCAGUGGCCACUGGCCUGGGGAAGCAACAUGGCAGAGUACUCAUGGAUGUGUUUUAUUGGGAGCCAGUGUCAAGCAACCCAAAUAUUGAUAAUGAUCCUUCCGCAGGUUCACCUACGGAAA